CCGGCCGCACAGCCUCCGGCCCCGCCCUCAGGCUCCGCCUCCAGCUGCCGGGAUGAGGAGACAGACGGUCCCCAGACCCUGCGCCAGCCAGCGGCCCGCUUUCGCCCCCGGCGGGAUAUCCGGCCUUUCGGCUCCCGCAAGAUGGCGGCGGCUGUGCGUAUUUGUGAUUUUGUUUUCCUAAACUCACAGGCAGAGGCCUUUAGUCUUUCCGCCCAGCAGCUUCGUGUGAAUUAUGUUUAUAGCAGAGUUUAAAUGCAAGGACUUAGAAUCAGACUUGGGUGAGAAUCCCACCUUCCGCCUUUCCUAAGGCAAUGUGACCUUGACUUGACUAAAAUAGAGAUUAAAAUGUCUGUAAAGCUUGAGCAUUGUGCUUGUUUUCGAAUAAGCUCCCAGUCCCUGACCGUGUUUCUAUUGUGGGGGAAACCACAUGCAUAACUUCUCCAUUUAUCAAGAGGAAACUGAUUGUAUUGGUGGAAAGAUACCAAAUACAGCAGUUCCAAGAACUUAUCGGUGACAGUUCAGUGAGGACGUGCAGAGCUCUAUUUUGAAACCAGGAAGAAUCCUGUACUUGAAUUAAACUUUUGGAAUCAGAA